rnacentral:lncRNA from 1 species
GAUCUGUGCCAAUGAGAGUAAUUACAUCUAUGCCACCAAGACAUUUGCAAAUAUGAUCAAAAUCACCAUACCAGGUAGGAAUUGGCCAUGGGCACAUAGGCAUUACUUGAUUUACCAUCACAUCAUAGCAGCAAAAUAACCAAAUAGUACUACCUUUAUUUAUUAAAAUAAUUCUUUCUUGAAUUGUCUCAUUUUUUAAACAAUAUGAAAUUAGGGUUGUAGGGAUAUUAUACACUUUUCAAUACACAUUAAUUUUAAAUCCUGCACAACCAAAAAUUGUCACGUAUCAAAUAUUGGGAAACUGCCAUAUCUAUCCCAUUUGGUUUUUUUAAAAGAUUUAUUUUAAGUAAACUGCACACCACACAUGGGGCUUGAAUUUACAACCCUGAGGUCAAGAGUCUCACGUUCUACCUACUGAGCCAGCCAGCUGCCCCUAUUCAUUUUAAAGAUUAAAAUGGGUAAAGAUCUUUCAAGUUUUGCCAAUCUGUAGUCAACUGUCUUUGGACUCUAGAUUCAACCAAUUGAUUUUGUUUAGGUCAUACUUGUCCAAUUUGCACAUGAGUAUCAUGAAAGAUUUGGCCGAAUGCUUUGUUAAAACCAAAGUAUUUCAACUCUGAUCUUGCCAUCUAUCUAGUUGAGUAUUGUAAAAUACAGCAGGGGUGCACUACUGUAGGCCACUUCUUCAGGAAGCCAAAUAAAAGACAUUUGUAAAUGUCUUCUCAUGAGAACAAGCUAAGCACUAGGGAGGAGUAUUUUCAAAUAUCUGGGUGGGUGUGUAAAAUAUAUAACAAUAGUUGUAUUUUCUGACACAGAGCUCCAGGGUUGAGAGCAGACAGAGUGACCUGGCAAAAUGACUGAACAUAACCCUCAUUCAGCAUUUACUAUUCAUCAUCUGCUAUACACAUGGAGUCACAGUUGCCAUCCUUGGCAUGGUCAUCGCUGACCGAAGCAGAGGUUCUAUCGUGGUGUUCUCUUUAUCUUCCAUCAUCCCAGGGCAUGGAAUGGAAUGGUUAGGGGUUAGGUCUGAGAUCCAGCCUUACCCACUGUAGCAAAGUAGGAUCCCAGAGGACUGACCCAGGUGCAGAUGACAGUUCAGACUGACAAGCAAUUUUAACUGUGCUGGGGACAGCAUUAAGAACUAGUGCUGGCCAUGAAUCUCACAUAUAUGAAUCCUAGAGUGCAGUCUCUGGUAUUAAAUUAAAAACCUAGUUGCACCAUUGAGGUAUGUGGGUUGAACAUGUUCAACUGUUCUGAGUUACAUAAUGUGAAAAUAAGGAUUAUCAAGUUUUCAUAAUCUGAAAAUGGGCAUUUUUUUUUGUUAAAGGUCAAUGCGAUAAUGUAUUUUCACGCAAAACAAUGGAAAGCUUCUCUCAUUCCAGCAUCACACAUUCUGUUAGCUGUGUCAGUGCAGACAAAAUCUGCCCUAAUCCAGCAUUUCCCAAAAUGGAGUCCAGAGAAUUUUUUCUUACAACAAGCUCAACAGGAAAAGAAUUACAAGGCCAAGAAGUAGAAAAAUUCUAAGCUAAUCAAUAUCAUAUUUGUUUACCACUAGAGUUUCCAGAAGUGUAGUACACUGAGGGGUGCAUUUUGAAUCUUUCUGAAGACAGAAAGAGUAUGGAGUAUUUUCCAGAUUUGGGGCACAGGACCCUUUUUAAUCUAGGGGCCAUUUGCUAUAUUGUCUCAAUUCUAAAAUGUAUAUUUCUUUCAUAUUUUAAUGUUUCCGAUGUUAGGGCUAUCUUAAAAUCCAAUGUACAUUUAACAGAGAAAUAAAAUUAUUCUAAAAUUGAAAAAAAAAA